CUGGGUGGACUUGGCCUGAGAGCACAUCCUGCCUGGCUUCCUCCCCUUCCUGGCCCUGCGGACCCCACUCCCUCACUGCUCUCCCUGGCAGCACUUUCUAGGUAAUGGCUUGAGUGCAAAUCCUCCUCUGAACAUCUGUUCCAGGAACCUGACCUAGGAGGACUCUGCUGACCAAACUCAGAAGAGGCUGAAUAAUUCAGGAGAUGGCCAAUUUGCUACCUGACCCGACGAGCGGCCUCUGUCCAGGUGUAGUGCUCUCAGGGAACCAAAUUGAAGUCCAAACGUCCCUGGAUGAACCAGACCCAGAGCAGAGCGGGGGAUUUUCCGUGAUGUUUCCACCGACUCCAGGUAGCCUGCGGCCUCACCAGUCUAGGAGAGGAGUGUUACCCUGGAGGGACGGUGCUAGAAGCAGCCUCCCGCCCCCUCGGCAGAGACGCACAGACACGUUCUUUGGCUCCCUACAGGGAUGCACUCUGCCCUCCCUUACGGAAACUUGGACAACUCACUACUGUUCCCAGCAACAUGCCAUCGCCCCUCAUUCGUCUUGUGCCGCUUCUUGUUGACUUCAGCUUUCUGAUCUGAAUCCCAGAUUUUCCUGGUUAUGCCUUCUCUGGGACUUGUGUCUGCCACACAGACUACACUGAACGGGGGCAGAAGAGUGUAGACAUUAAGAACCUGGGCUCCAGAGUCAGAUGUGGCUUUGAAUCCCAGUUCUGCCAAUUACCCACUGUGGGAUUUGAAGCAGAGAAGAUUUAGCCUCUCUGAGUCUGUUCCCAAGCAGCAAAACAAGGGCAGCAAAGCAUCUAAAGGAUGUUGGAAGGAGCCAAUGGAAUCAUCCCUUCUACUAACACUUAUUGAACACCUCCUGUGAGCCAAGCGCUGCGGGAGGCCCAGACACAGCGCUGGCAAAGGAAGAACGGAGGUCUGAGUCUGAAGACCUACAGUCAGGAGGGGAGCUUACAUGGAAGCCAUCUGUCACGGGCCCAGACACACGGUCCGUUGUAGCUGUCAUCAUUUACUGCUGAGAGCCGUGGCUUGACAACAAAGGCCUUCUCUGAGCAGGCAGAAAACCACCGUCCAUCUCCUGAGGAGAGCAAAGAAGUGACACAGUGCUGCCAGGACACAGGCUAUGGUCACUCAGACUCCAUCGUGGCCCCUAGUGGAUCCCAGCAAAACAAAGAUAUUGUCUACCUGGGCAGGUGACUUUUAAUUUGACAAAAAGGGGAACCAGCAAGGUAUUUUGGGGGGACUGACCUAUAAUUACCAUCCUUCUUUUAGGCAGUUAGGAUUUAGGGCAUCAAAACCAGGACAUACGAUCUAAGUGUAUUUGGGGGAACAAUGGACAAGAGAUGGAUGAAAUCGCAAUUCUCCCAGCAGACAGAUGGUUCGCGGCCCCUGAAGAAGCAGGCUUUCUUAAGCUCAUCUCAAGGAACCUGGUCUGCCAAAUCCACCCGUGCUUAGCAUGAAGUUUCUCCCUUGUAUUUCUCACCUGUGUUAUUAAGACUUUAAUUCUAAUGAGGUGUUUACUUGAUUGAACUCGUGUGGGAAGUUCAAUGGCAAACCAAACAGGAUCCUUGUCCCGUGGAGACUUGUCAGUGGGGAGACAGAUAGCACAAUCACAUUGACUUAAUUACAGAUGAGAUGAAAGAAAAGGGCAGAAGUUAUAAACCUAGAACAGGGAACAUAAUUUGGAUGGAGGGCAUGGAAGGUGUAUUGGUCAGGGCUUUUAUUAGCAUGUAACAGUGACCGAUUCUGGCUGAUUUAAACAGGAAAAAAAAUGUGCUGAAAGGCCACUUGGUAGUCACUGGUUUGCUGGAAGGGCUGGAGAAGCUGGCUCAGAUGCUCCACGGUCAUAUGACAAGACGGGCUGGUGAGGACACUGCUGCCCCAGGGAGCGCAACAGUGGACCCCCAGACCCGGUGCCGGAGGCUACGGCCAGCCACCACCCCCUCCUGACUCGGAAACGGCUGUCUCUUCAGGGUUCCUGCUUCUUUGCAUCACUAGCCCUUGAUCCAAUAUCUCGGAGGAAUCAUCGAACGCAGAAAGCCUUAAUCACUUAUCUGCCCCCUCGCUCAAAUAGACUCAGAAAAUUUUCUGUGUUCUUAAAGGAAAUACUUCCCCUU
rnacentral:lncRNA from 1 species